AACGAACGCUGGCGGCAGGCUUAGCACAUGCAAGUCUAACGGAUGUAGCAAUUCAUCAGUGGCGCACGGGUGAGUAACGCGUGGGAACGUGCCCUUCAGUACGGAACAACCUCGGGAAACUGAGGCUAAUACCGUAUAAUGUCUUCGGACCAAAGAUUUAUCGCUGAAGGAUCGGCCCGCGUUGGAUUAGGUAGUUGGUGAGGUAACGGCUCACCAAGCCGACGAUCCAUAGCUGGUCUGAGAGGAAGAUCAGCCACACUGGGACUGAGACACGGCCCAGACUCCUACGGGAGGCAGCAGUGAGGAAUAUUGGACAAUGGAGGAAACUCUGAUCCAGCCAUGCCGCGUGAGUGAAGAAGGCCUUCGGGUUGUAAAGCUCUUUUACCCCUGACGAUAAUGACGGUAAGGGGAGAAAAAGCCACGGCUAACUUCGUGCCAGCCGCCGCAGUAAGAC
rnacentral:rRNA from 1 species